CAGCCGCCGCGGGAAUACGAAGGGGGCUAGCGUUGUUCGGAAUUACUGGGCGUAAAGCGCACGUAGGCGGACAUUUAAGUCAGGGGUGAAAUCCCGGGGCUCAACCCCGGAACUGCCUUUGAUACUGGGUGUCUAGAGUAUGGAAGAGGUGAGUGGAAUUCCGAGUGUAGAGGUGAAAUUCGUAGAUAUUCGGAGGAACACCAGUGGCGAAGGCGGCUCACUGGUCCAUUACUGACGCUGAGGUGCGAAAGCGUGGGGAGCAAACAGGAUUAGAUACCCCAGUAGUCCCUGUCUCUUAUAC
rnacentral:rRNA from 1 species